AAUAGUCACUGGGGAUGCAAGCAUCAGGGAAGAAUACCUCAGAGCAUGGGCGAAGCUGUUUGCAACUCAGUGGGAAGUUGAACAAACCAAACUUUACAAAGGGAGGAAGAACGAGGUGCCCCAAAUUAUGGAGAUGCAGGGACUGGUUACCAAGACCAUGGACCGGAACAAGAAUCUUGCUCCCCAUUAACCAACCGCAUGGCCGAUUUCCUCUUUUGUAAAGUGAGGCAUGAAGUGUCUCCCUUUGGAUGGUGGGCGAGGACAAAGAGGCCCAGCGCCUGGCUGUGAUACGAUGCAGCUUCUGAUAGAGAAGGACAGGUCCUGGUCCUCCUGUCCUCUGGCCCGAGGGGCUGAAGGUGACUUGAGGUCCCAAGACGGUGGAGCUGGGACAUAGGUUGGCACCCCUGCACUGUUGAGAGUACAAGAACCCCAAGAGAGCCGCUGUCAGCCACAGACUCAUCCCUGCACCUUCCACAGGGUGUAUGCCGGGCGUGAGCGCACCAAAGCUGCAUCCCUCCCCUGGUGUUGGUGACCCGCCCAAGCCCCUGAUUUCCCUAAAGACCCAAGCCUAAGGCCUGAGAUGGAUCCUAACGUUACAGGCACUGGCUGCAGCAAGCGUCUCACUCUGGGACGAAUCCUCUGGGGCCUCAUCACACCCUCCCCUCCCCAAAGUCAAGGAAGCCACAGCUCCUGGGCUGACUGUGAGGCUCAGUUAUCUUUAUAGGAGAUCCUGACGCUUUCCUGCGAAACCCUGUGGUUGGAAUAAAAGGUGUUCCAGAAUUUUGUUAUGCCA